ensembl:lncRNA
AUGUGGUCACCCACAUUAAAACUCAAAAACCGAAACUUGAGACACGCAGAACGAAAAAUGCCAACGAUAGAAACCAUGAGUAAAAUGCUAACAGGUGUCAACACGAGUCUUAAUAUUACACUACUUAAACCCACAAUUAUAAAGAUUAUAAAAAUGUACUAGUUUUCAGCUUAAUAUAUAAUCUAGAGUUGGUAUUUAAAAUAAGACAUUAAGAUAUUUAAACGCAAAUCUGUUUUGUAGGCUAAACCCGCCAUAUAUAUAUAUAUAUAUAUAUAUAUAUAUAUAUAUAUAUAUAUAUAUAUAUAUAUAUAUAUAUAUACAGUAAUUAACCAUACAGUUAACAUAUUAGCCUUCAUGUAAACUUUAUAUUAACCUGCACUUCCCUCAGGUAUAAACAUACUUGCAUAUUUAUGUGUGAAUAUAUGUAUAUGUGCGUGUGUAUGUAUGGGGACGUGCACAGCAAUGCCUUAAUUCACGUAAUUUUGAAAAAUUUAUAACUUAUCAUAUGAAAGGCCGUAACAAAUGUGAAAGGACCUCCUUAAAACCUUAUUGUGUGAGGUGAAACAAAACCGAAAAUCAAAACAUUUGUAAGAACAAAAUCUGAAACGAUAAUGGUGAAACUCAAUCCACAGCAGCACGCCUAAAAUAAGAUCUUCACACUGUAAAUUUGCAAGCUUAUAGCUGCUUUUUUAUAAGCAGUUUAAGCUGCAUUCAACAAGCAUCAGGUUACUCAAAAGUAAGGGCGAUUAAAAUCACAGAUAUAAUUGUGAGCAGUCAGCAUUAUUAUCAAGGACUGUGCUUAUGAAAUACUGGCCAUGUUGUUUUAAUUUUCUCUUUUAGUCAUGAAACAAAACCAAAAACUAGAUGUUGUAAACACUGCCUGUUAGAAACCCUAACCCAAGUAUAAAAGAUGCUCAAUGCUUUAGUAUAGAUUAUACUCUAGUUCAGAUUGUGGUAUAUGUGUGUACCAAGUACUGCCUACUAACUUAACAUACUAUGUUUUUUGAAAUGGAGU